UUGAGCAGUGUUGAGGCAUCAGGGAAUUUGGGUAAGACAUUGUUGGAGAAAGCCCUAAUCGCUGUGAUCUUCCUUUUGUGUGAUCCAGAGGACCUUGACGCGAGACAAGUUUCUUAACGUCCGGAUUUGGACUGAUUGGAUCUUUCCUAU